GUCUAGCCGUAAACUUUAACUUACCACCACCAUUCGCCAGGGAAUUACGAGCUAAGCUUAAAACCCAAAGGACUUGACGGUGCCCCAUAUCCCCCUAGAGGAGCCUGUCCUAUAAUCGAUAAUCCACGUUAAACCCAACCAUUUUUAGUUUUUCAACCUGUAUACUUCCGUCCCCAGCUCACCGCAUGAGUGAAACAUAGUGAGCCUAAUGACUCCCCCGCCAACACGUCAGGUCAAAGUGCAGUUAAUAAAAUGGACAGAGAUGGGCUACACUUUCUACCUUAGAAAACACGAAAGAUCGCAUGAAACACGAUCUGAAGGCGGAUUUAGUAGUAAAAAGAAAUUAGAACAUUCUAUUUAACCCGGCACUGGGGUGUGUA
rnacentral:rRNA from 1 species